UGGGGAAUUUUGGACAAUGGGCGCAAGCCUGAUCCAGCCAUGCCGCGUGCGGGAAGAAGGCCUUCGGGUUGUAAACCGCUUUUAUCAGGGAAGAAAUCUUCUGAGUUAAUACCUCGGGAGGAUGACGGUACCUGAAGAAUAAGCACCGGCUAACUACGUGCCAGCAGCCGCGGUAAUACGUAGGGUGCAAGCGUUAAUCGGAAUUACUGGGCGUAAAGCGUGCGCAGGCGGUUUUGUAAGACAGAGGUGAAAUCCCCGGGCUCAACCUGGGAACUGCCUUUGUGACUGCAAGGCUUGAGUGCGGCAGAGGGGGAUGGAAUUCCGCGUGUAGCAGUGAAAUGCGUAGAUAUGCGGAGGAACACCGAUGGCGAAGGCAAUCCCCUGGGCCUGCACUGACGCACAUGCACGAAAGCGUGGGGAGCAAACAGGAUUAGAUACCCUGGUAGUCCACGCCCUAAACGAUGUCAACUGGUUGUUGGGAAGGUUCCUUCUCAGUAACGUAGCUAACGCGUGAAGUUGACCGCCUGGGGAGUACGGCCGCAAGGUUG
rnacentral:rRNA from 1 species